rnacentral:rRNA from 1 species
AGAGUUUGAUCCUGGCUCAGGAUGAACGCUGGCGGCGUGCCUAACACAUGCAAGUCGAACGGGGUUAUUUAGGAAAUUUCCUUCGGGGAAUGGAAUCUUUAACCUAGUGGCGGACGGGUGAGUAACGCGUGAGCAAUCUGCCUUCGGAUGGGGGAUAACAGCCGGAAACGGCUGCUAAUACCGCAUAACACAUGGGAUCCGCAUGUUUCCCAUGUCAAAGAUUUAUCGUCCGGAGAUGAGCUCGCGUCUGAUUAGCUGGUUGGCGGGGUAACGGCCCACCAAGGCGACGAUCAGUAGCCGGACUGAGAGGUUGAACGGCCACAUUGGGACUGAGACACGGCCCAGACUCCUACGGGAGGCAGCAGUGGGGAAUAUUGCGCAAUGGGGGCAACCCUGACGCAGCAACGCCGCGUGAUUGAAGAAGGCCUUCGGGUUGUAAAGAUCUUUAAUCGGGGACGAAUUUUGACGGUACCCGAAGAAUAAGCUCCGGCUAACUACGUGCCAGCAGCCGCGGUAAUACGUAGGGAGCAAGCGUUAUCCGGAUUUACUGGGUGUAAAGGGCGUGUAGGCGGGCAUGCA